GAAAUGCGAUACUUGGUGUGAAUUGCAGAAUCCCGUGAACCAUCGAGUCUUUGAACGCAUAUUGCGCUCUCUGGUAUUCCGGAGAGCAUGCUUGUUUGAGUAUCAGUAAACACCUCAACUCCCUUUUUCUUUUUUGGAAUCGGGGAGCUGGACUUGAGUGAUCCCAACACUUUUCUCACUGGAAAGUGGCGGGUCACUUGAAAUGCAGGUGCAGCUGGACUUUUCUCUGAGCUAUAAGCAUAUCUAUUUAGUCUGCCUAAAAACCAGAUUAUUACCUUUGCUGCAGCUAACAUAAAGGAGAAUUGUUCUUGUGCUGACUGAUGCAGGAUUCACAGAGACAGCUUUGCGGCUGACUUUGUAAACUCGAUCUCAAAUCAAGUAAGACUACCCGCUGAACUUA
rnacentral:misc_RNA from 1 species